GUGAGGAAUAUUGCGCAAUGGAGGCAACUCUGACGCAGCCAUGCCGCGUGCAGGAAGAAGGCGCUACGCGUUGUAAACUGCUUUUAACCGGGAAGAAACCCCAGGACGUGUCCUGGGUUGACGGUACCGGAGGAAUAAGCACCGGCUAACUUCGUGCCAGCAGCCGCGGUAAUACGAAGGGUGCAAGCGUUAUCCGGAUUCAUUGGGUUUAAAGGGUGCGUAGGCGGAGCGUUAAGUCAGUGGUGAAAUCCUGCAGCUUAACUGUAGACUUGCCAUUGAUACUGGCGCUCUUGAGUGCGCUUGAAGUGGGCGGAAUGUGCCGUGUAGCGGUGAAAUGCUUAGAUAUGGCACAGAACACCAAUUGCGAAGGCAGCUCACUAAGGCGAUACUGACGCUGAGGCACGAAAGCGUGGGGAUCGAACAGGAUUAGAUACCACGGUAGUCC
rnacentral:rRNA from 1 species